rnacentral:rRNA from 1 species
GGAAUAUUGCACAAUGGGCGAAAGCCUGAUGCAGCAACGUCGCGUGAGUGAAGAAGGCUCUUGGGUCGUAAAGCUCUUUCGGCAGGGAAGAAGUGUCAUAUGGUUAAUACCCAUGUGAUUUGACGGUACCUGAAUAAGAAGCACUGGCUACUUCCGUGCCAGCAGCCGCGGUAAUACGGGAGGUGCGAGCGUUGUUCGGAUUGACUGGGCGUAAAGAGCACGUAGGUGGAUGUGUAAGUCGAAUGUGAAAGCCCAGGGCUUAACCUUGGAACUGCAUUCGAAACUACAUUUCUUGAAUACCUGAGAGGUUGGCGGAAUUCCGGGUGUAGGAGUGAAAUCCGUAGAUAUCUGGAGGAACAUCAGAGGCGAAGGCGGCCAACUGACAGAGUAUUGACACUGAGGUGCGAAAGCGUGGGGAGCAAAC